rnacentral:lncRNA from 1 species
CCGAAAGAUGGACAAGAACAAAGAAGAUGAUCCAUGGAAGCCUGGGGACGGAGUGCUCACCCUUGGAUCAAGAUCUGCUAUCAAACUCUAGAGGUGAGAUCAUGUAUGAGCCUCUAGAACAAUUUCUACACUCAAUAAAAGAAGAGUAAAGGAUAGUAUCAGUACAAACCACUAUGUACUGGUAGGUAUCAUAGGCUAACUCAACUUAAUAACAUAGACACAACAUAAAUCAAAUAACAAAUAGACAGACAUCAACACAUAACAAAUUCUCAAUGAAUCAACAAUACAAUAAUAACAGGUCAAACAGUGCUCACAGACAAGCCACAUAACCAUCAAAAGUAUCAACCAUACUAUAAACAUCCACAAAAUCAACACAAAUAUGUACACACAUGCUAUGGGACUUAUUUUUGCCCAAAUAGUCAUGACCUGCAAGGAACAAUCAAUGUUAAUGUACCGUACCAGAGUGGUACCCGAUCCAGCAUAAAUAUAAACGUACCGGCGUGGUACCCGAUCCAACAUAAAUAUAAAUGUUCCGAUGUGGUACCCGAUCCAACAUAAAUAUAAACGUACCGACAUGGUACCCGAUCCAAUAUAAAUAUAAACAAGUAUUAUCAAUGUCAAUUUACACCUCACAGUAUACAACACAAUGUACCAAGUUUUCAAGUACACUUAAAGCCAUAAGAUAAUUCCAUCAAGUAAAUUUUUAAUAAACAUUUAUACACGAAUCAACAAUCCAAACAUCUAUAAUUUCAAGCAUGUUCGAAUACCAAUCUACAAGUAUCCAAUUUAGAAGCAUACACACAAUUAAGUUGAAUCUAAACUCCAAUUAAAUCGUAACCUACCUCAAUCGAAGAAACCGAAUGCAAGCUACUUUACAAUGGUCUUGCCCUUCCGUAAAGUCUCCCAAAUGAUCAAAAAUUGUUCAAAUAUAUAAUCUACAUAAGAGUAUGAAUCUAAUAACACUCAUUUAUAAAUUCCUACUCUAAAAUUUCCUGACCAAAAUUUUAAUUUAUCUAAUACCUAAAUCGGAAGCAGCGUAAGCAAUGUACGAAAAUUCAGAUUCCCUCAUAUUCACAUAAACCUAACAUGAACCUUAACAUUAGUGCCAAUGAUUGACAAUCAUUACCUAACAUUUUAAUAUAUUAAAUUUCUCCACUAAUUCCCUAAUGAUUGUUGUAAUCAUUACCAUGGUUUUGCAUGAUAUUUGAUUCCACGUAAUUCUCAAAAUUCAUCAUUCAUUAAUAUACUACCCACAACUAUUUUAAUACGAACACUAAAAAUCACCUGAAGCUUGUUCUUCGUCCUUCGACGCCGCAACAGUUUUUGUUUUGCCCCCUUUUAUCUUUUUUUUUUUUUUGUUUUUCUUUAUGCCAAAAAAGGUUAAACCCUAUUAAUUGAAAGUCACAUAAUAUCUGAUAGUAAAAAAAUAAAAGAAGAUUGUGGUGUUUACUCAUUUAACUACUACUUCAACUAAUUAUUUAAAUUACUCAAAACUUUUAAAAAUGCUCAAAAUUAGUUUUGAGUUUCGUAGAAAUAAAUUAAAUUUAUAAAUUGACUAAAAACAAUACAUUUCGAACCUAUUAAAAUAUCAAAAUUCUAAAUCGAGGUCGUCUUGAAAAAAGUUGACCGUGAUCAAGCUUAACUUUAUUAAAGCUCAAGAACCUACGUAAUGACUCAAAUUACUUUUGAACACCUCAAGAAUUGAUACUUCUCAUUCCAUGAAUUAUAAUUCACGUACACCAACUACGGAGAGAGCUAAAAUAGGGAAUAUGAGAAAAUUUCAAAAACGACCGGGAGGGUCAUUACUGAAGAUACCAAUUAAACAACCGUUCAUCCCCGAACGGCAACAAGAGACAAUCAGGGAAAACAAGAAAUUAAUGAAUCGACAAAAAAACGCAGAUACUUACUACGCAUGUCUGCUUUGGUCUCCUAAAUGGCCUCCUCAAAAGGAUGAUUCUUCCACUAGACUUUCACAGACGCAAUCUCCUUAAUCCUCAACUUACGGACAACCAAAUACCUAGCCGAGCCUAUUCUACCCCCACCGCCCCAGACUCGAAAGGUUCAAUCAGCAUACAACAACACAAGGCAUAUUCUUCACCCAUAUAUAUGCAACUAUUCUAUACUGGCCGAUAAAUAUAAGUGCAUACUGGUGAUAGGGGAUGCGCACGCAGGGAUGAAUACAAAAUACACAAUCAAUAUCACAACUCAUCAUAACUGUCCUCACCAGGACCAUCAUCAUCAUAAUCAACCUCCGGCCUUGCCGGAUAUCAACACAUCAUUCAUAGUAUAUCUAUAUAGUCAAUACUUCCCAACUACUCGUUAUUAGCUAACCAACACUUAUUGUAAUAGAUUCACUAGUUCGCUAGUCAUCAAAUAACCUCUAGUUAUUAGCCUAAACAUUAUCCCUCACAUAAUCCGUAUUCAUGGGAUAACAACUAACCGCUAUUUAUUUAAUAGCCAACAUAUGAUAUCUAGUCAAGGUUCAUCACUAGACUAAAACCGCCAUUUAUCUACCAUUCAUUAUUAUCAACUUAUCGUCCUAUAUCCGUUAAUCAUUACUAGACAACACAUUACUACUUGUCACCUAACCAUCUUUAUUAACUGACACCAUUUAUUAUCUAACCAUUUUUUACCGAUUAAUCCUUGCUUAACUAUUCAUUAGUUAACUAUUUAAAGUUAUUAACUAGUCACCUCUUAUUACCAAUAUUUUUUAUUAUCUAGCCUCAUUAACACACAAAUCUUCAUUUAUCGACUAAUCGACAUCACAAACUUAGUCAUCAAUACCAACUGAUCUUCAUCUAUGCAAGAUCCGACCUCACCAUAAGUCACACAUUAACCAUCGCUAGCUACCAUAUUUCAACUAAGCAAGAAUCAUUAACUAAUAUAUUAGAUUCCUAGCCAUCAUCAGUAUCCAAUGAAUAAAUUCGUAAGCAAUAUACCGCAUCUUCCUCCGACCCAUAUCAGAGAGAUGUGUACACAACAUAUACGUAUUCAUAAACUAUAAUCGUAUUCUUUACACUGAGAAACACUCCUCGGAUUUUCAAUCAUUGUCAUAACACAGCUCUUGGCCUAUUAAUUUAUCCGUAAUAGUCACAACAUCAAAAUCACCGUCUUAGGCCUAUACAUAUCUGAAACUCAUAUCGAUAAUCAUAUUUAUAAACCGAAGCAUAUCUCUAAUCAUCUCACAUAUAAGAGGUAUCUCACAUAUUAGAGGAAUAAUAUAGAUAUACAUGUAAUCGUCUAUAGGAUAUCUUAUAUCGAUAGGUCCUACAUCAUGACUACGGGAAUAUCACCUCUCUAGGCCAAUUUGCAUAUCUAAAAGGAAAUAGCAUCUCUAUAGGCCACAUAACGUAGCUAGGAGGAAUAUCAUCUCUAAAUGCCCAAUAUCACUUCCACGGGAAGUAUUAUAACUCAAAAACCACAAUCCGAAAACAUCAAUACAAGUUACCAAGUUACGAAGUAACCUUAUUCUAAGGUUUACUAACUUCAUCUAUGUCUAACAUCCGCAACUAAGUCGACAAGACUUAACACAAGUUUAGGACUACGUGGGCCAGACGAUCCACUUCUAAUCCUCAAUUUCCAUAAUUAGGCACACUAUGUCCCAAACUAGGCUAAGGUAUCUAGUUCAUCUUCUAGAUGUCAAGUAAGCCAUAUUCAAGCCUAAGAUAGUAGCUUCGACUAGAAACAAGGAACUCAAGUCAACUCUACCCAACUUACGAUUUCAAGACUGCCAUACUAGCCCAAUAAGGCUAAAUAUACAAAUCAUGCUUCAAAUACUAAAAACACAUCCCAAAUAUAGGUUUACAUCAUAAACACGCUUCAAGUAAUCUAAACUUGAGAGAAAAACCAAUAGGAGUAAAAAGGGGAAUAAAUAUGCCAUUUUACGGGUCCCACUGAAUCAAAGCCUACAACACAUUAUCUUCACGAAACUAUUAAUAUCCAUCUAAUUAUCAUACAUUAACCACUCAACAAGAAAUAUCCGCCAAGUAUCACUCAAGGAAAGAUCAAUCAUGCCAUUUAAUAAUUCAUUUAUUCUCCCAUUCAGGAUCAUCCUUAAUUAUUUAUGAACGUAACUAAGCCAUUUGAUUUGCAUGGCCACUAUCAUGGAAAUUACUAUCCUCUAAAAGUGUGAUAUAUUAGCCAACUUUGUGGGACAUGCAAAUGUAUAAUUCAACCACAAGGUCAAGUCAAUAAUAAUUCAGCUUCUCAAAAUUGUUCCUAAUACAUAAAUCCACGCUACAACUUAUGUCUUGACAAUCACUAACUCAAUAUUUUUCAACGACAAACACUUCAUGGUCAAGCCAAACCUCUCUUAUAUCACUAACACCAAUUUAAGAUAUACAAAGUCAUUCUUAUUUCUACCUAACAAUAUUUUUAUUACGGGCUUUACUUAACUCUUAAUCACCUCAAGAGUGGUCCCCACACCACUAGCACAUAAACAAGGCCAAACAAAAUAAAUUGAUUAUAGGUCAUUGUCAGUCUCAUCACCAAUAUCGAAUUUCAGACAAGUCAUCGAUCAAAUUCUGUAGGUAUCAACAACCUCUACUAGUUUUUGUCACUUUUAUUUAAAACUCAUUAUUUUGCCACGCAUUAAGAAUUCGUUCACAUAACGAACUCAAAGAUAAUGUCACUUAGCUAGUCCUCACAAGGAACUCAUUAUAAUUUCAAUAAUAGAACUGCAUAAAAAUUCUAAAUACAAUCUCAAUGGCCGGACCACACAAGGAUCCCCAAAUAAUAUCAAAUAAUCGGACUACACAAGGGUUCAUCCACAAUAUCAUUAACAAAAACCUCUCAUUACAAAAAACACAUAUCACCUCAGUCUUUUAUUCAUAUCACUUUUUCAUCAUCUUUUCUCGACAUCACAUUCUCAUAUCAUCCUCUCAAUUCUCAUACCAUCAAUCUCAUCAGUAUAAUAGUACCAAAAUAAGUAAGCACCAUAGAAUUUCUAGUUUCACAAUAAAAAGAAAUCAAAUAAUCCCAUUAUAUUUAUCAACAAAAAUAACUUCGUCCAUUUUUUUCACUUAACAAAAACAAUUCACAACAAUGACAAAAAUCUAGCAACACAAGUUUACUCAAAUAUCAAACACAAGCAAUCAAUAAGUUCACAACUUUCACAAGUCUUUACCUAUUAACAAUAACUUUUAGACCUUAUUAACAGAUACCAAUUGAAAUCUCCUAGAUUUUUAUUCAAAAUUAUUAAGAUACCAAUUGGAAUUGUCUAGAUACCAAUUGGAUUCAAUCUAGUAGUCCAAGAUUAGGACGACAUGAUAGAGAGAAAGAAAUGAAAAUGACUUCUACAUGCGUCAUAGCCUAACGAAGAUUGGGUGUGGGGGCCCUACACACCAAUCAACGGAUGUCUACUUGACAUUGCUCUUAUUAACAUAUACUAGUUGGAAUCACCAGAUACCAAUUGACUUCAAGUAAUAGCAUGUAAGAAAGAAAAAUUUGAAUUUUCCUAGAGUCCUAUAGCCUCUCGAAGAAAAGUAACGACGUCUUCGUACCAUUUCGCAAGACUCUACUAGACAUAUUCUUGAACGAUGAAAUCGACGAACCUACAGCUCUCAUACCAACUUUAAUUUGUCACGACCCAGAUGGCCAUGAGUAGCACCCAUACUAACCUUCCUAUGGGAGAACCAUCUAAAUCAAACCAUUACCCAAUCACUUAGUCAAUAUUAAAAGGAUAUUUUCAUAAAACCAUCUUAACAAUAAUAAUUUGGGAUUAAUCAUCAGUAGUGCGGGAACCAAACAAUCUACUAACUGAAAUUCCCAAGACCCAAUAGUCAUCGUACAAGAACUACUAACAAAGAUCAUUUCUAAAGAGAUAUCCCAAAAUAAAAUAAAUAAAGAAUGUUUCAUUGCCCGAAUGAUAGACAAGAACAAAUAAGAUGACCAAUGAAAGCCUGGGGACAGAGUGCUCACCCUUAGGUCAAGAUCUGCUAUCAAACUCUAGAGGUGAGAUCAUGUAUGAGCCUUUAGAAUAAUUUCUGCACUCAACAAAAGAAGAGUAAAGGGUAGUAUCAGUACAAACCACUAUGUACUGGUAGGUAUCAUAGGCCAACUCAACUUAAUAACAUGUACACAACAUAAAUCAAAUAACAAGUUGACAGGCAUCAACACAUAACAAAUUCUCAAUGAAUCAAUAAUAAAACAAUAACAGGUCAAACAGUGCUCACAGACAAGCCACAUAACCAUCAAGAGUAUCAACCAUACUGUAAACAUCCACAAAAUCAACACAAAUAUGUACACACAUGCUAUGAGACUUAAUUUUCCCCAAAUAGUCAUGACCUGCAGGGAAAAAUCUAUGUUCAUGUACCGUACCGCGUGGUACCCAAUCCAACAUAAAUAUAAACGUACCGGCGUGGUACCCGAUCCAACAUAAAUAUAAAUGUACAGGCGUGGUACCCGAUCCAACAUAAAUAUAAAUGUACCGGCGUGGUACCCGAUCCAACAUAAAUAUAAACAAGUAUUAUCAAUAUCAAUUUACACAACCUCACAUCAUACAACACAAUGUACCAAGUUUUCAAGUACACUUAAAGUCAUAAGACAAUUUCAUCAAGUAAAUUUUCAAUAAACAUUUAUACACGAAUCAACAAUCCAAACAUCAACAAUUUCAAGCAUGUCUGAAUACCAAUCCACAAGUAUCCAAUUUAGGAGCAUACACACAAUUAAGUUGAAUCUAAACUCCAAUUAAAUCGUAAACUACCUCAAUCGAAGAAACCGAAUGCAAGCUACUUUACAAUGGUCUUGCCCUUCCGUAAAGUCUCCCAAAUGAUCAAAAUUUGUUCAAAUGUAUAAUCUACAUAAGAGUAUGAAUCUAAUAAUACUCAUUUAUAAAUUCCUACUCUAAAAUUUCCUGACCAAAAUUUUAAUUUCUCUAAUACCCAAAUCGGAAGCAGCGUAAGCAAUGUACGAAAAUUCAGAUUCCCUCAUAUUCACAUAAACCUAAAAUGAACCUUAACAUUAUUGCAAAUGAUUUACAAUCAUUACCUAACAUUUUAAUAUAUUAAAUUUCUCCACUAAUUCCCUAAUGAUUGUUGUAAUCAUUACCAUGGUUUUGCAUGAUAUUUGAUUCCACGUAAUUCUCAAAAUUCAUCAUUCAUUAAUAUACUACCCACAACUAUUUAAUACGAACACAGAAAAUCACCUGAAGCUUGUUCUUCGUCCCUCGACGCCGCAACAGUUUUUGUUUUGCCCUCCCCUUUUUUUUGUUUUUCUUUAUGCCAAAA